GCCCAGGUAGCUCAGUCGGUAGAGCAGCGGACUGAAAAUCCGCGUGUCGGUGGUUCAAUUCCGCCCCUGGGCACCA
rnacentral:tRNA from 1 species